AUUGAACGCUGGCGGCAGGCCUAACACAUGCAAGUCGAGCGGAUGAAGGGAGCUUGCUCCUGGAUUCAGCGGCGGACGGGUGAGUAAUGCCUAGGAAUCUGCCUGGUAGUGGGGGAUAACGUCCGGAAACGGGCGCUAAUACCGCAUACGUCCUGAGGGAGAAAGUGGGGGAUCUUCGGACCUCACGCUAUCAGAUGAGCCUAGGUCGGAUUAGCCAGUUGGUGGGGUAACGGCCUACCAAGGCGACGAUCCGUAACUGGGCUGAGAGGAUGAUCAGGCACACUGGAACGGAGACACGGUCCAGACUCCUACGGGGGCAGCAGUGGGGAAUAUUGGACAAUGGGCGAAAGCCUGAUCCAGCCAUGCCGCGUGUGUGAAGAAGGUCUUCGGAUUGUAAAGCACUUUAAGUUGGGAGGAAGGGCAGUAAGUUAAUACCUUGCUGUUUUGACGUUACCAACAGAAUAAGCACCGGCUAACUUCGUG
rnacentral:rRNA from 1 species